AGUGAACGCUGGCGGUAGGCCUAACACAUGCAAGUCGAACGGCAGCACAGUAAGAGCUUGCUCUUACGGGUGGCGAGUGGCGGACGGGUGAGGAAUACAUCGGAAUCUACUUUUUCGUGGGGGAUAACGUAGGGAAACUUACGCUAAUACCGCAUACGACCUACGGGUGAAAGCAGGGGAUCUUCGGACCUUGCGCGAUUGAAUGAGCCGAUGUCGGAUUAGCUAGUUGGCGGGGUAAAGGCCCACCAAGGCGACGAUCCGUAGCUGGUCUGAGAGGGUGAUCAGCCACACUGGAACUGAGACACGGUCCAGACUCCUACGGGAGGCAGCAGUGGGGAAUAUUGGACAAUGGGCGCAAGCCUGAUCCAGCCAUACCGCGUGGGUGAAGAAGGCCUUCGGGUUGUAAAGCCCUUUUGUUGGGAAAGAAAAGCGGCAGGUUAAUACCCCGCUGUUCUGACGGUACCCAAAGAAUAAGCACCGGCUAACUUCGUG
rnacentral:rRNA from 1 species